AGCCUUAGGAAAAAUAUUUCUUACUAGAUUAGAUUAUGGAAAGGAGUGUGUAGAAAUGCAUCUGCUACAUA
rnacentral:pre_miRNA from 8 species